AUCCUUUUGUAGUUCAUGAGCGUGAUGAUUUGUUUUUCAUGCUCGUGAGAUGUGCCUCCCACAGAGCUUGCGGGGGAGGGGGGGUGACGGUUGACUACUGAUG